UACAUCCAGAGAACUUAGCAGAGAUGCUUUGGUGCCUUCGGGAACUCUGAGACAGGUGCUGCAUGGCUGUCGUCAGCUCGUGUUGUGAAAUGUUGGGUUAAGUCCCGCAACGAGCGCAACCCUUAUCCCUUGUUGCCAGCGGUUCGGCCGGGAACUCAAAGGAGACUGCCGGUGAUAAACCGGAGGAAGGUGGGGAUGACGUCAAGUCAUCAUGGCCCUUACGGCCAGGGCUACACACGUGCUACAAUGGCGCAUACAAAGAGAAGCGACCUCGCGAGAGCAAGCGGACCUCAUAAAGUGCGUCGUAGUCCGGAUUGGAGUCUGCAACUCGACUCCAUGAAGUCGGAAUCGCUAGUAAUCGUAGAUCAGAAUGCUACGGUGAAUACGUUCCCGGGCCUUGUACACACCGCCCGUCACACCAUGGGAGUGGGUUGCAAAAGAGGUAGGUAGCUUAACCUUCGGGAGGGCGCUUACCACUUUGUGAUUCAUGACUGGGGUGAAGUCGUAACAAGGUAAGCGUAGCGAG
rnacentral:rRNA from 1 species